rnacentral:rRNA from 1 species
AGUGUAGGCGGCUAUUUAAGUCGGAUGUGAAAGCCCCGGGCUCAACCUGGGAAUUGCAUUCGAAACUGAAUAGCUAGAAUUUGGUAGAGGUAAGUGGAAUUCCGGGUGUAGCGGUGAAAUGCGUAGAUAUCCGGAGGAACAUCAGUGGCGAAGGCGGCUUACUGGACCAAAAUUGACGCUGAUGCUCGAAAGCGUGGGGAGCAAACAGGAUUAGAUACCCUGGUAGUCC